rnacentral:rRNA from 1 species
AACGAACGCUGGCGGCAUGCCUAACACAUGCAAGUCGAACGAGACCUUCGGGUCUAGUGGCGCACGGGUGCGUAACGCGUGGGAAUCUGCCCUUGGGUUCGGAAUAACCGCGAGAAAUUGCUGCUAAUACCGGAUGAUGACGUAAGUCCAAAGAUUUAUCGCCCAAGGAUGAGCCCGCGUAGGAUUAGCUAGUUGGUGAGGUAAAGGCUCACCAAGGCGACGAUCCUUAGCUGGUCUGAGAGGAUGAUCAGCCACACUGGGACUGAGACACGGCCCAGACUCCUACGGGAGGCAGCAGUGGGGAAUAUUGGACAAUGGGCGAAAGCCUGAUCCAGCAAUGCCGCGUGAGUGAUGAAGGCCUUAGGGUUGUAAAGCUCUUUUACCCGGGAUGAUAAUGACAGUACCGGGAGAAUAAGCUCCGGCUAACUCCGUGCCAGCAGCCGCGGUAAU